rnacentral:rRNA from 1 species
AACGAACGCUGGCGGCAGGCUUAACACAUGCAAGUCGAACGGAUCCUUCGGGAUUAGUGGCAGACGGGUGAGUAACGCGUGGGAACGUACCCUUUGCUACGGAAUAACUCAGGGAAACUUGAGCUAAUACCGUAUGUGCCCUACGGGGGAAAGAUUUAUCGGCAAAGGAUCGGCCCGCGUUGGAUUAGCUAGUUGGUGGGGUAAUGGCCUACCAAGGCGACGAUCCAUAGCUGGUCUGAGAGGAUGAUCAGCCACACUGGGACUGAGACACGGCCCAGACUCCUACGGGAGGCAGCAGUGGGGAAUAUUGGACAAUGGGCGCAAGCCUGAUCCAGCCAUGCCGCGUGAGUGAUGAAGGUCCUAGGAUUGUAAAGCUCUUUCACCGGUGAAGAUAAUGACGGUAGCCGGAGAAGAAGCCCCGGCUAACUUCGUG